rnacentral:rRNA from 1 species
UACAGAGGGUGCAAGCGUUAAUCGGAAUUACUGGGCGUAAAGGGCGCGUAGGUGGUUGUGUAAGUGAGAUGUGAAAUCCCUGGGCUCAACCUAGGAAUGGCAUUUUAUACUGUACAGCUAGAGUACAUGAGAGGGUAGUGGAAUUUCCGGUGUAGCGGUGAAAUGCGUAGAUAUCGGAAGGAACACCAGUGGCGAAGGCGGCUACCUGGCAUGAUACUGACACUGAGGCGCGAAAGCGUGGGGAGCAAACAGG